rnacentral:tRNA from 1 species
GCGCCCGUAGCUCAGUUGGAUAGAGUAUCGGCCUCCGAAGCCGAAGGUCGUAGGUUCAAUUCCUACCGGGCGCGCCA